UACGAAGGGGGCUAGCGUUGCUCGGAAUCACUGGGCGUAAAGGGUGCGUAGGCGGGUCUUUAAGUCAGGGGUGAAAUCCUGGAGCUCAACUCCAGAACUGCCUUUGAUACUGAGGAUCUUGAGUUCGGGAGAGGUGAGUGGAACUGCGAGUGUAGAGGUGAAAUUCGUAGAUAUUCGCAAGAACACCAGUGGCGAAGGCGGCUCACUGGCCCGGGUACUGACGCUGAGGUGCGAAAGCGUGGGGAGCAAACAGGAUUAGAAACCCCCUGGU
rnacentral:rRNA from 1 species